rnacentral:lncRNA from 1 species
AUAUAUAUAUAUGACAUUUAAGUAAUCAAAUUAGUAGCAUUCUAAAAAAUAAUAUACAUUCUAACUAAUUUAAGUACUAUUAACCAUCAACUAGAAUAUAAUACAAAAGAAAGCUCUAAAAUUUUCAUCCACAUCUUUUCUUUUAAUAAUUUUAUCAAACUUAAUAAAUAUGCCAUUGACACUAAAAUUGGCAUCAAAUUCUAAGGUAUUACAGUAUUUGGAUCCACACACCUAAUUUCUUAAGAUUCGAAGGUAAAUAAUUUAUCUUAUUUUGACAAUAUUUCUUUAAAAUACUUAAUUCUUUCUCGCAGUAAAGAACCAUCAAAUCCAACCUUUAAUUCUUCAAAUGUCUCCUCAGUAAACUUGUC